rnacentral:rRNA from 1 species
CGCUCUUUGUAUAAAUAAGGAGUAAUACCUGCCCGGUGAGAUAAUUAAACGGCCGCAGUACCCUGACUGUGCUAAGGUAGCAUAAUAAUUUGCCUUUUAAUUGGUGGCUUGUAUGAAUGGUUUGACGGGGGCAUAGCUGUCUCUAAUAUAUUAUUUAUAAUUUAUCUUUUAGGUUAAAAUUCCUAAAUCAAAUUAAGGGACGAGCAGACCCUAUUGAAUUUUAAAAAAAUAUGUAAAUAAGAUUAUAUUUUAAAAAUUGCUUAUUUACAUAAGAAUUUUGGUUGGGGCAACCUAGGAACAAGAAAAGCUUCUUUAUUAUUAAUAAAAUUACUCUUUUUGAUCCAAAAAAUGUUGAUAAUGGGAAUUAAUUACCAUAGGGAUAACAGCGUAAUUUUUCUUGAGAGAUCUAAUCGAAAGAAGAGCUUGCGACCUCGAUGUUGGAUUAGGAUAUUUCUAAAGGUUGCAGGAGCUUUUAUGAUUGGUCUGUUCGACCAUUAAAAUCCU